rnacentral:rRNA from 1 species
GACGAACGCUGGCGGCGUGCUUAACACAUGCAAGUCGAACGGAGUGCCGAACGGGUGAGUAACACGUGGGUGACCUGCCCUGCACUUCGGGAUAAGCCUGGGCAACUGGGUCCAAUACCGGAUAGUGUGGGAUGGGCCCGCGGCCUAUCAGCUUGUGGAGGGGGCAAUGGACUACCAAGGCGGCGACGGGUCGCCGGCCUGGGAGGGGGGACAGCCACAUUGGGACUGAGACACGGACCAGACGAGUACGGGGGGCAGGAGUGGGAAAUAUUGCGCAGUGGGCGGGAGCCUGAUGCAGCGACGCGGGGGGGGGGAUGACGGGCUUCGGGUUGGAAACGCCUUUCACCAUCGACGCGGUAGAUGGAGAAGAAGCACCGGCUAACUACGUGCCAGCAGCCGCGGUAAUUC